rnacentral:lncRNA from 1 species
GUUAGGCCUCCUGCUUCUGAACAAUCUGGCGUUCCAUCUGCAUUGCCUGUGAGACCAACUUCCCCGAGAAUCAGUUCACCUAGAGCUGCAUCUCCUCGAAGUUCUUAUAGUGCUGCAUCUCCUAGGGCUGCUUCUCCAAGGAUCGCCUCUCCAAGAGCAGCUUCUUCGAGCGUCAUCUCUCCUAGUGCAGCUUCUCCAAGGGCUACCUCUCCUAGGGCAGCUUCUCCAAAGGCUACCUCUCAUAGGGCAGCUUCUCCAAAGGCUAUCUCUCCUAGGGCAGCUUUUCCAAAGGCUAUCUCUCCUAGGGCAGCUUCUCC